UUUUUUUUUUUUACUUUGCAGACCAGAGUGCUCCCUUGACAUGAGUUUCACCUAACUGUUGUUCUUUCCUUCAAGUGUCAACCAAAAGAGCAAUGAUGAGCUUGGCGUGGGCCAUGGCUGAACCCGACUGGAGACCUCUGCGGCCCUCACACACAGCCACGGGGAGCUCACAGCCAUGAUUCAGUACGGCGCACAGCAGACAGAGAGGAGACACCUUACCUGUAUCAUCUACAGAUACCGCUUGAAAAAUCACACGUAAUUAGGCCCUUCUCACAGGGGAAGCUACUCGAAGCUCUAUCACCAGCUGGCAUACAUUUCCCUUGAGCAACGUCAGAUGAGAAAGUGAUUUCAUUUCCAUCACAGGGGAGAAGACAAACAGAAGACCCAGAGGCAGCGACUUGCUUGGAGGCCUCCAAGGUGAGAAAAUUGAGGAAUGAAAAGGAUACGUGACUUACCCAAGUAAGUGGGGUUCACAUCUAAACUGUCUGGUUUCAGAGCUCACAGUCCUGCCCACCCUGGAAAGACACAGACGUGCUGACAAGGAGCUUACAGAGUAAAAAGGGGUGGCAACCUUAACAAAAAAGACAAAUCAGUCAUUACAAACCAAGGCAGGACCAUGAUUGAAAAGAACAGGAAAAACAAGAGUUAAGAACAAUAAACUGUUUUAGCCAGGCGGCCAGAGAAGUCUUCUCCAGGUAGGUGAAUGUAUGAGGGAUGAAUACUAUCAGACCAAGAAUGGCUGAGACAGAGAAGACUGUGCUAUAGAGAACAGUAGGCAGAACACAGCUUGGUUAUGUUUGAAGGACUGAAAAAUGGCCACUGCUUCAGAAGGCCAUAAAGGGGAGUGUGUCUCUUCUUGCUCGCUGCCAUAGGACAGGGAUUGGUCAAUAGAUUUUUUUUUUGUAUGGCACCAAGGAGUAACUAUUUUAAGCUUUGUAGGCCAUGCAGCCUCCAUCACAAUUAUGCAACUCUGACGCUGCAGCGUGAAAGCUACUGCAUAUAAGUAAACAGGUGAGCAUGUAUGUUGCAAUAAAAGUGCACAUAGGGACACUGGAAUUUAGAUUUCAGUGUGACAGGAAACGGAUGAGCAUGUAUGUUCCAAUGAAACGGUAUAUACGGACAGCAGAAUUUAGACUUCAGUGAGACAGUUCCACAAAUAGCAAGUAUGUGUGCAAAAACACGUAAGAGUCACAUUUGGUGCAUUUCCAACACAUUAAUCCUUACAUAUAUCCAAGGCACCUUAACCUUAGAGCUCAGUGAAUUCUGUCAGCUGACGGAAUGUAAAAGCAAGAUACAAUUUUGAAUAAAAUUUAGUAACUGGGCUAUUGGUUUUUAAAUCACUCUUAAUCAGGAUUAUCCAGGAAAAAUAGUAUCAAUAGGAAAUGUAUGUAUAUGAAGAGAUUUGUUAGCAGAUAAAUGGCUCACACCAUUACGGAGGCUGGAAAGUUGCAUAAUUUUGCCCGCCAGCUGGCAACCCAGAAGAGGCAGUGGUGUAGAUCCUAGUCUGAGUCUGAAAGCCCAAGAAACAGGAGCACCCAGGGAAGGAGGGCCAAUGUCCCAGCUCAAGCAGCGAGUCUGGAAGGGCCAAACUCUUCCUUCCUCUGCCUUUAUGUUCUGUUCAGGCUCUCAGCAGAGUGGCUAAGCCCACCCACCCUGGGGAGGGCACAGUGCUUUGCCGAGUGCACUGGCUCAAAUGCUAAUUUCAUCUGGACACGCCUUCACAGACAUUUUCAGAAAUAACAUUUAACCAGUAUCUGGGCAACCCGUGAUCCAGUCAAGAUGACACACAAAAUUUUAACCAUUACAGUCUGAUAAAGAGGAACAAAUCAUCACCCAGGAAAAAGAAAUAUUGGCAUUGAUGAAGAUAAGACAAAGGAAUGUUCCAUCUUUACAAAGAGAACAACAACAAAAUAAUGAAUGCGUCAUCAUUCAAAGAGUAUUUCAGAUUGAUCACUGCCCCAGAAAACUAAAAUUGUCUAAAAUCUUAAGAGGUCGCCUAUAAAACACUUGACGGACACUUUCCUAAAGUUGACAUGACAAUCCUAAAAAUUUAUAUCACCUAACCAGUAAUGAGUUAUGAAGCCAAAAUAAAUUUUUCUAAAUUGACAAUAAAUUUUGAUCAAUCCAGAAGGUAGAAAGAUUAAAUCCUCUUUCGAAUAAUUUCUAUAGAAAAUGAUAAUCCAAGACCACUGUAUUAACAGGUAAUCCAAGAGUAUGUAGCCAAAAUAUACAGGAAACACACAUUAUAGGAAAAGUCAGGUAGUUAAUAAAAAAUAAACAUGUUAUUUGGGGGAUUUUGUGAUAUAUAUUUCAGCUUUAAAAAUUGCGUAAUUUGUGGAGUUCCUAUUGUGGCUCAGUGGGUUAAGAACCUGACUAGCAUCCAUGAGGAUGCGGGUUUGAUCCCUGGCCUAUAUCAGUGAUUUAAGGAUCUGGUGUUGCUGCAGACUGAGGCACAGGUUGCAGGUGUGGCUGUGGCUGGCAGCUGCAGCUCUGAUUCGACCUCUAGCCCAACUUCCAUCCGUUGCAAGUGUGGCCAUAAAAAGAAAAAAAAUCUUUUAACUUUUUUUUUUUGGUCUUUUUGUCUUUUCUAGGGCCACGCCCAUGGCAUAUGGAGGUUCCCAGGCUAGGAGUCAAAUUGGAGCUGUAGCUGCCGGCCUAUGCCACAGCAACGUGGGAUCUGAGCUGCGUCUGCGACCUACACCACAGCUUAUGCCAACGCCGGAUCCUUAACCCACUGAGCGAGGCCAGGGACCGAACCCACAACAUCAUGGUUCCUAGUCAGAUUUGUUAAUCACUGAUCCAUGACGGGAACUCCUAUAACUUAUUUUUUAAAAUGUCUACAGUUCUUUUAGCCAUGCCUACAGCAUGCGGAAGUUCCCAGGCCAGGGCUUGAACCCAUGCCAUAGCAGUGACAACACCAGAUUUUUAACCUGUUGUACCACAGGGAACUCAUCUACAUCCUUUUUCUUAAAGCUGCCGACCUGCCUCUGCCUUGGAAGUGCGCUUACGGCCUAUUUCCCCAGGACAGCUAUCCUUUCCUUCCUUUGGACCUGUUCUCAGGCCUUCAGACUUGGGUCCUGGACUGGAACUAACUGGGCUUUCCUGGACCUCCAGUUUGCAGAGGGACUUAACCUCUGAAACCAAAUUGUUUGCAUACACAGUUACUUUUAAAAAUAUACACAGGAGACGGGAUUGAGACAGUGGAGUAGAAGGAGUAAAGCUCGCCUUCUCUCAUGAAAACAACAAAAUUACAACCAACGGCUGAACAACCUUCAACAAAACAGACUGGAAACUAUCAAAAAAGAUAUCCUACUCCAAAAGACAAAUAAGAGGCCACAUUGAGAUGGUAAAAGGGGUGAUUAUGUGAUAUAAGCAACUCCAUACCCACUGGGGGGAUAGCCCACAGACUGGAAAGUUAACUGUAUCACAGGGGCUCACCCACGGGAGUAAGGGUUCUGCGCCCCAUGUCAGGUUCCCAUGCUUGGGGAUCUGGCAUUGGGAGAGGGAGCCCCGGGAGCAUUUGGCAUUGAAGGCCAGUGGGGCUUACACACAGGAGCUUCACAGAACUGGGGGAAAUGGAGACUCCACUCUUGAAAGGCGCACACAGGCUUUUGUGUGUUUGGGUCCAAGGACAAAGCAGAGACUCCAUAGGAAUCUAGGUCAGACUUGCCUGUGGUUCUUGGAGGAUCUCCUGGGAAAACAGUGGGUGACUGUGGCUCGUUGUUGGGCAAGGAUACUGGAGGCAAAUGUCUCAGAAAUAAUCAUCAGCAUGAAUUCCUCUAGAGGUGGCUGUUUUGCAAAAAUUUAGCACCAGGCCAGAGAACAAACCCAGUGGGAACACAGCCCCACCCAUCAGCAAACAGGCUACCUAAAGGCCCGCCCCCACCCAGGCACAUAGACUCCUCUAAUCACACCCACAGACAAAGCCCCACCCACCAGAAGGACAAGACUCAGCUCCACCCACUAGGGGGCAGGCACCAGUCCCUCCCAUCAGGAAGUAGGCAGCAUGCCCCCAUACCAACUUCAGCCACCCUCAAGGGGGGCAGACAUCAGAAGCAAGAGACUACAACCCUAUUACCACACUAAAAAUCUAUACAAAAUGAAAAAGGCAUAGAAUUAGGACUCAGAUAAAGGAACAAGGAAAAAAAAAAAAAA
rnacentral:lncRNA from 1 species